rnacentral:rRNA from 1 species
CCUACGGGAGGCAGCAGUAGGGAAUCUUCCGCAAUGGACGAAAGUCUGACGGAGCAACGCCGCGUGAGUGAUGAAGGUCUUCGGAUCGUAAAACUCUGUUGUUAGGGAAGAAUAAGUAUAAGGCGAAUAACCUUAUACCUUGACGGUACCUAACCAGAAAGCCCCGGCUAACUACGUGCCAGCAGCCGCGGUAAU